UACGGAGGGUGCGAGCGUUGUCCGGAAUCAUUGGGCGUAAAGGGCGCGUAGGUGGCCCGGUCAGUUCGUGGUGAAAGCGCGGGGCUCAACCCUGCGUCGGCCAUGAAUACUGCCGCGGCUGGAGCACUGUAGAGGCAGGCGGAAUUCCGGGGUGUAGCGGUGGAAUGCGUAGAGAUCCGGAAGAACACCGGUGGCGAAGGCGGCCUGCUGGGCAGUGCUGACACUGAGGCGCGACAGCGUGGGGAGCAAACAGG
rnacentral:rRNA from 1 species